UUCGGGUUGUCAUGCCAAUGGCACUGCCCGGUAGCUAAAUGCGGAAGAGAUAAGUGCUGAAAGCAUCUAAGCACGAAACUUGCCCCGAGAUGAGUUCUCCCUGACUCCUUGAGAGUCCUGAAGGAACGUUGAAGACGACGACGUUGAUAGGCCGGGUGUGUAAGCGCAGCGAUGCGUUGAGCUAACCGGUACUAAUGAACCGUGAGGCUUAACCUUACAACGCCGAAGCUGUU
rnacentral:rRNA from 1 species